rnacentral:sRNA from 1 species
UAGGACAUUGAGAUGAGAUGGCAACGUG